AUUUCCGACCAACAUUUGUUGGUCUGGGGGUAUGGAAAUUUCAAAAGCCCGGGUACGCCCACUUUUGAAAGAGUACAUUCCUUUCUACCCUUGUUCUUUUGCGCACUCAUGUUUCCUCGGCAGGUUAGCCUGCCGAUUGGAUCAUUAAACCCUUUAUUUUUUAAAUCAGCGUCUGAAAUUAAUAAAUAUUUA
rnacentral:misc_RNA from 1 species